UACGAAGGGGGCUAGCGUUGUUCGGAAUUACUGGGCGUAAAGCGCACGUAGGCGGACUGGUCAGUUAGGGGUGAAAUCCCAGGGCUUAACCCUGGAACUGCCUUUAAUACUGCCGGUCUGGAGUUCGAGAGAGGUGAGUGGAAUUCCGAGUGUAGAGGUGAAAUUCGUAGAUAUUCGGAGGAACACCAGUGGCGAAGGCGGCUCACUGGCUCGAUACUGACGCUGAGGUGCGAAAGCGUGGGGAGCAAACAGG
rnacentral:rRNA from 1 species